rnacentral:rRNA from 1 species
GACGAACGCUGGCGGCGUGCCUAAUACAUGCAAGUCGAACGGUGAAGGAGUGGCUUGGUUCUGUGGAUGAGUGGCGAACGGGUGAGUAACGCGUAGGUAACCUGCCUUUUAGCUGGGGAUAACUAUUGGAAACUGUAGCUAAUACCGCAUAGUAGUACAUGCUGCAUGACAGGGGCUGGAAAGGUUCAGUUGCGGCGGUUGGAGAUGCAGCUGCGGUGUAUCAGCGUGGGGGUGUGGUAUCGGAUCACCUAGGCGUCGACGCGUAGCCGGCCUGAGAGGGGGACCGGCCACAGUGGGACUGAGGUGCGACCCGGAGGCCUACGGGAGGCAGCAGUGGGAAAUAUUCCACGAUGGGCGGAGGCCGGAAGCAGCAACGCCGCGUCCGAGAGGACGGCCUUCGGGGUGGAACCCGCGUUCGCCUGGGACGAAGCGUGAGUGACGGUAACGGAUAAAAAAGCACCGGCUAACUACGUG